rnacentral:rRNA from 1 species
GACGAACGCUGGCGGCGUGCUUAACACAUGCAAGUCGAGCGGUAAGGCCCUUUCGGGGGUACACGAGCGGCGAACGGGUGAGUAACACGUGGGUGACCUGCCCUUAGCUCUGGGAUAAGCCUGGGAAACUGGGUCUAAUACCGGAUAUGACUCCAUGACGCAUGUUGUGGGGUGGAAAGCCUUGUGCGGCUAGGGAUGGGCCCGCGGCCUAUCAGCUUGUUGGUGGGGUGAUGGCCACCAAGGCGACGACGGGUAGCCGGCCUGAGAGGGCGACCGGCCACACUGGGACUGAGACACGGCCCAGACUCCUACGGGAGGCAGCAGUGGGGAAUCUUGCGCAAUGGGCGAAAGCCUGACGCAGCGACGCCGCGUGGGGA